AUGGGGAAAAGAGCCAGCUCGAACGCGGGGAAAAAGGCAGCCGGCGCCGGCGCCCAUCACAGAAAAGAGCGGCGCGAUGAGACGGAGGCGCAGAAGGUAGAGCGGCUGCAGGCAACUCUGGCGUUUGUGAAGGCGGCGCACGCGGACGCCAUGCUCUACCUUGACAUGGAGGAGGAGGACGUGGAGGAGGAGUACCGGAGGGCGGGCAAGCUCCACACGUACGACGAGGCCAAGGAGUGGAAGAAGCGUCUCGCCAGGGUCGCCAAGCUCUACCCGCCUCCCAAGCACAUCAUGGAAUAG
rnacentral:rRNA from 1 species